CGUUCACGGCGAAGUGAAGCGGCAACAGCUUCAAAUUUGAAAGCUGGCCUUCGGGUCCGCGUCUGUAAUUUGCAGAGGAAGCUUUGGGCGCGGCGCCGUCUGAGUCCCCUGGAACGGGGCGCCAAAGAGGGUGAGAGCCCCGUAUAGACGGAUGCCUAGCCUGUGUAAAGCUCCUUCGACGAGUCGAGUAGUUUGGGAAUGCUGCUCAAAAUGGGAGGUAAAUUUCUUCUAAAGCUAAAUACCGGCCAGAGACCGAUAGCGCACAAGUAGAGUGAUCGAAAGAUGAAAAGCACUUUGAAAAGAGGGUUAAAUAGCACGUGAAAUUGUUGAAAGGGAAGCGCUUGUGACCAGACUUGCGCCGGGCUGAUCAUCCGGUGUUCUCACCGGUGCACUCUGCCCGGCUCAGGCCAGCAUCGGUUCUCGCGGGGGGAUAAAGGCUUAGGGAAUGUAGCUCCUCCGGGAGUGUUAUAGCCCUCUGCGUAAUACCCUCGCGGGGACCGAGGUCUGCGCUCU
rnacentral:rRNA from 1 species